CUUGAUCAUGACACACACCAAACGCUUCAGGAAUGUAUUCUGUGAAUUCAACACAACUUGGAAGAAAUGGAACGAGCGGAUUACGCCAUUCAAAAAUAUGUCAUCAUUGCGCAAGGAUAGCUAAGAACCUCUACAAAUUUCUGUGUACGGUACACUUCCAUCUACAUAAUCUCCAGGAGAGUAUAUUUUUAGGCUCUUGAUUGACUAUAUUCUGCUAAUGGAAAAGACGUCACGAACUCGAGGUUCAGCUUUCCCAGUGUGUCGGCACUGGCAUCGCUAUCUCAUCUCAGCCUCAUUGACGUCCACAAAAUCUCCAUGAUAUUUCACGGCAUAUUACGGCAUAUUUCACGGCAUAUUUCAUGUUAACUUCCCCUAUAAACUGUAAACUUCAUAAAAAAGCACAGCAUCCAAAUUGCUCGAGUGAGCUAAGCCGUUAAUUCCAUCAUCUUCCGCGAAACAGAAUUCAAAAAAUUCAAUCGACAGGAAAUAUUUGCAGUCUCAGAUUGACACACCAAGCAAUGCGGAAUCACGGACAAAUCAAUUUUGCUUAUGGACACGGUGACUCGUGUUACGACCUUCUCUACAUCCACGGCCAAUUCCUGCUGCGUUU
rnacentral:lncRNA from 1 species